UACGUAGGGUCCGAGCGUUGUCCGGAAUCAUUGGGCGUAAAGCGCGUGUAGGCGGUCCGGUAAGUCCGCUGUGAAAGUCGAGGGCUCAACCCUCGAAUGCCGGUGGAUACUGUCGGGCUAGAGUACGGAAGAGGCGAGUGGAAUUCCUGGUGUAGCGGUGAAAUGCGCAGAUAUCAGGAGGAACACCAAUUGCGAAGGCAGCUCGCUGGGACGUUACUGACGCUGAGACGCGAAAGCGUGGGGAGCGAACAGG
rnacentral:rRNA from 1 species